GCCGCCUUAGCUCAGUUGGUUAGAGCGCUGGUUUGUGGAACCAGAGGUCCUCCGUUCAAACCGGAGAGGCGGUACCA
rnacentral:tRNA from 5 species